AUGAUCCACAACGCAAAGGAAGGCAUCUUACGGGAGCUACAGAAAGGCGAGUAUGACAAGAGUGAAGGGACAGUUGAAUCUAGUGGUGUUCCAAAUCAAAGCCCAGAAUGUGUUUCUGAACAAAUUGGUCAGAUGAUAGACAAAAUAAAGCAGGAGUUCAAAGAGCAGCUCAAGAUCAAAGGGUUAGUGGAUGAGAUUAAACAUAACUUGAAUUAUCUUCCAGAGUUCAAUAGUUAUGAAUGUCCCCUGUUUAUCGUCAAAGUUGAUGAGCCCAUGGAUGUUGCCACAUGGGAGGAUACCAGAAAUGCUUUGAGCUUGAACUGCAGCGCCGAUUUAAUGAUGGUCACCACCACAAGGGACAUCCAGCUGGCGAAAGAAUAUUGCUAUCCACAGCGAGAACCUAUAUACUAUUCUCUUGCUGGCCUCUACCAUGAUAGAGUGCUCCAUCUGACUAGCCAGCAGAAGAAUCAAGACAGCUACAACCCCCAAAUUUUUCAUGAUAUCUUGUACGAGUGUGAUCCAUAUGAAUUCUGCAUGAAGAUCUUCACUCAUGCUCUGUAUGCUAACCCCAUAAGGAGCAAUGAGGAGUUACUCAAGCUGCGCAGCACCCUGCAGGCUUUGCCACAAUCACUCACCAGCAUCACUGAGGCAAUGUUCAAGUUCUCUUACAACGAUCUGCCUGAAAAAUACAAGUCCUGCUUGUUGUACCUAGCUAUCUUCUCUCCGGGACACAAGAUUAGGCGGUCAACCUUGAUUGGACGGUGGAUUGUCGAAGGGCUGACAUCCCAUGAAGAUUGGGCCCGUUCUGUGCAUCAGGCCAACACAUGUUUUGACUCACUCAUUGAUCGGUGUCUCGUUUAUCCUGCUGAUAUUGGUGCCAAGGGAGAUGUAAAGACCUGCAUUGUAGAUGAUAUAAUUCAUGGAUUCAUUACCACCAUUGCCAGAGAACAACACAUCGUGGAGACACGCCUGUCACACCACUUGGCUCACCACUUCUCCCUUUUCAACGACCUCCAACUCCGUGGCUAUCAUAGAAUUGAUAAUUUUUUCCAGGGGCUCUCUAAAGUAUCCCUGCUCAAGGUGCUAGAUCUAGAAGGAUGUCAGUGCUUUGUUGGGAACCGGCAGUACCUCCGGGACAUUUGCAGCAAGAUGAUAUUACUCAAGUAUCUGAGCCUAAGACGAACAGAUAUUACCCAGCUACCUAUAGAAAUCAAUAACCUCCACGAGCUAGAGGUAUUGGAUAUCCGACAAACCAAGGUGCCUCGACAUGCAACGGCAAAUAUCCUGCUGUUGAAGCUGAAGCGUCUGCUUGCUGGUCACAUUGAUCUGAAUGCGAGCAAUUUCGGCUCUAGUGGUCGGAUUCCUCGUAGGAUCGACAAAAUGGUAAACAUGGAGAUCCUAUCUAAUGUCCAGGCCAAGCAUAGUCAUGAUUUAAAACAUAUUCGAAAGCUAUGUGAGCUGAGGAAGCUAGGUGUGGUUAUUGAUGAUAAGGAUAGGCACCUCAGGAAUUUGCUUCAUACAAUCAGUGGCCUACAUGAGUCCCUCUGUUCUCUGACAAUUACUGCUAGUGUUCUGGUAGCCACAUCAAGCGAAGAGUUACCAGAUGGCAUUGCCUCUCUCUUAAAAAACCAUCCCAAGAUGCUUGAGAGUUUAAGCAUCAGGGGAACCACACAGAAGGGACGUCUUCUUCCAUUGUUCACAAAAGGUGAUAACAACAAACUUGCCAAGGUAACUCUAAGUUGCACCCAGCUAAGCCAAGAUGAUCUGGAAGCCCUUGCCAAGCUGCCCAAGUUACGAUGUGUCAGGCUCCAACACAUUACAUGCACCAGGACCAUGCUCAACUUCAAGGAGGGCGAAUUCAGAUGCCUCAAGUGCCUUCUUGUUGAGGGCUCGGACUUGAAUAUCAUUUUUGAGGUUGGAACAGCCUGUGAGCUUGAGAAGAUGGUUUUGUCUUUCACCUGCAUAGUUUCUAUUUCUGGAGUUGACUGCCUUCCAAAACUGAAAGAACUUGAGUUGAACAACAGCUUCAGCGGCAGGUUGCUAUCAUCAUUUGAUAAUGCCACACAAAUAGCCAAGCUGACUCUUCGUGGUACAUUGCUAGAGCAAGAUGCUCUACAAAUACUCGCCAACAAAGCAAAUCUACGCUGUUUGGUGCUCUUGGACAAGUCUUUUGGUGGAAUGCAGAACGAGAUUACAUUAAAAAAAAGAUGA
rnacentral:rRNA from 1 species